GGGCCGUUCCUGUUCAUCCUCAGUUUGGAGGUCCGAGGUGCUACAUGUCAGAGCCUUCUUCAGGAUUUGACGUGCCUCAAUGGGCUCAUAUGAAGUGUCAACUUGCACAACACUGAUACUGACAGUUGACACCUGAAAGAUGAUUAACUUCAGCAAAGUACUUACAGCAACUUAUCAGCCCGUUUUCUGAUGCAGCCACUGCCAGCAAGUCAAACUUUGGUCAGUCCUGAGACCCUGAUCUAAACUAGUCAUGCUAUGAUUAUGAUUGGUACUAAAACAAUGAACAAAAACUAUCAAUUAAUGUUAAUGUAAUGAAGUAAUUAACUAAUUAAUGUCUGAACUAAUAAACUGAUUGAAAUGCAUUUUUUGCAUGUUAAUGCAGGAGAGGAAAGGCCACAAAACCUUUCCUGUGGGGCAGGGCGACACAUUUCCCAUCCAGCUCUGAAACAUUGGCAGCCUUGAUGAUCUCAGAUUUUUCUGAAAUGAUGUAAAUAUUCAGUGUAUCCGAGCUAAAUGGGUAGCUAAAGAACAAUGACUUCCUUCUAUAUUCCUUAUAUAUUGCAUAAAUGCCCCCCCCAAUGCAUUCCACAAUAUUUUGGAUGCAGACAAUGUCAUUUCCAAGCCUGAAGAUGUUAUCACCAGUCGAUGUUCUGAGAGUCCACUUCUCAGUGGACAUCUCGCCAUACUGUGCCUUGAUGGCCAUCCCCCCAACAAUAGGGCCCACAAAAUGCUGCCGUCUUAAAGUGCUGCCAGAUAAUUUUCAUAUGGGAAGGCAGAGAAGGAGUCAAGGUGACCAUGCUGCUGAACUUCACCUGCCAGAUGGGUUAUGCAGUGUACAUUAUACACAACGUUGUGUCUCCCAUAAAGUGUAGCAAAGUGCUGCACAAACGACUUCAGUAAAGUGUCAGCGUAAUCAGUGAGGUAGGAAAAUGUUGGGCUUGCUAAGAUGGAGAUACCAGAGAAGAGAAGCAUAAAAUUCU